AAUAGACGUCAAAUUACCGUGCUAGGAAAAAAUAAUGCGAACUUUUUCGGUUUCAGUUUUUGGUUAUAUAGUAUAAUGUUGUUCUUUAAAGCACAGUGAUGGAAUGUUGUUGAUUUAAUCCGUCAAAAAGUUUGCCACCUCAAAAAGAGACAAACAAUGCGCAGUGGGCACAGAGUUUAAGAAGAAACACGUGGAAAUGAAGAUACCUGCGGAAAUGAAUACUUUAAAAUUCAAUUAACUCCCUCGAAGCACGAAGGAAGUGCUUACAUAAAAAGAAGGAAUGCAUAGUGUGUGUAUUGAUGUUUGUGAAAACAAAGAUAAUCAGAAUUUUACAGUGUUGUGUGUUGUUCAGUUUUUUGAAGUUGAAAUUUCUUCUGAUACUAAUGUCGAUUCAGUCAUGGUUUUGUUGGUGAUUAUGUUAAAUAACAGAGACGAACAUGAUGGGAGUUCUUUCUUAAUUGAUCGUUUUAAAAUGGUGAGUGUUGUUGAUAUUUCUUUGCUUUUUUUAAAUUCUUGUUAACUGAUGAAUGUUAUGAAUGAAAUUGUACUUGUUCUCCUCCCCAUACAAUUUUUCAUGUUGGACGAUACGCUUGAUUUGAUUUCGAAAGGGUUAUGUUCGCACAUAUUAUGCUCAACAUAAUUUUGCUGCUGUCACUUUUAAAUGGCAUUAAAUGAAGGCUGUCUAUACUUGUGGUA